rnacentral:rRNA from 1 species
GAUGAACGCUGGCGGCGUGCCUAAUACAUGCAAGUCGAGCGAACAGACGAGGGUCUUGCUCCUCUUACGUUAGCGGCGGACGGGUGAGUAACACGUGGAUAACCUACCUAUAAGACUGGGAUAACUUCGGGAAACCGGAGCUAAUACCGUAUAAUAUAUUGAACCGCAUGGUUCAAUAGUGAAAGACGGUUUUGCUGUCACUUAUAGAUGGAUCCGCGCCGCAUUAGCUAGUUGUUAAGGUAACGGCUUACCAAGGCAACGAUGCGUAGCCGACCUGAGAGGGUGAUCGGCCACACUGGAACUGAGAAACGGUACAGACUCCUACGGGAGGCAGCAGUAGGGAAUCUUCCGAAAUGGGCGAAAGCCUGACGGAGCAACGCCGCGUGAGUGAUGAAGGUCUUCGGAUCGUAAAACUCUGUUAUUAGGGAAGAACAAAUGUGUAAGUAACUAUGCACGUCUGGACGGUACCUAAUCAGAAAGCCACGGCUAACUACGU